UACAGAGGUCCCAAGCGUUGUUCGGAAUUAUUGGGCGUAAAGCGCGUGUAGGCGGCUUUGCAAGUCGGGUGUGAAAUCCCUCAGCUCAACUGAGGAAGUGCGCCCGAAACUGCAGAGCUUGAGUACCGGAGAGGAUGGCGGAAUUCCCCAAGUAGAGGUGAAAUUCGUAGAUAUGGGGAGGAACACCGGUGGCGAAGGCGGCGACCUGGGUGGAUACUGACGCUGAGGCGCGAAAGCGUGGGGAGCAAACAGG
rnacentral:rRNA from 1 species